UACAGAGGUCUCAAGCGUUGUUCGGAUUCAUUGGGCGUAAAGGGUGCGUAGGCGGCGCGGUAAGUCGGGUGUGAAAUCUCGGAGCUUAACUCCGAAACUGCAUUCGAUACUGGCGUGCUUGAGGACUGGAGAGGAGACUGGAAUUCAUGGUGUAGCAGUGAAAUGCGUAGAGAUCAUGAGGAAGUCCAGUGGCGAAGGCGGGUCUCUGGACAGUUCCUGACACUGAGACACGAAGGCCAGGGGAGCAAACGGG
rnacentral:rRNA from 1 species